UUAUCUUGAUCCUGACUCGCCAUUUCUGCCUCUUCUCCGUUUGUGUCGAGUGUCACUGGUGUGCUUCGGCACACGUGUAAAAACACUGGCUCUGAUUGGCUACCACCUCUGUCCCGCAUAACUCGCCACCUGAUUGGCCGAGCCGCACGCAGCGAGAGGCUCCUGGCUGAUGCUGAACUGGGGCAGUUCAGUUCCACCACUGGGGUCACUAUGGUAACCGGUGUAGACAAUGCAGUGCAGCUCUCCCACAGAACGCUGCCCCGUUCGAGUUAUGACGUCAUAGCCACGAUUGUCUAUAUAUAUAGAGAGCUUGUGCACUCUAUUCAGUAAAGUACAGUAAAGUACUGAAUACAGCAGAGGAGGAUUCAGGAUGAGAAGCACAAUAGCGAUAGAAAAGAAGCGUCUUCAGUCAUAUAUUAGUCAAACGGAGGCCAGUAUAAGAAGGAGAUUGGAGGAGAAUAAUUCAGAAUUGAAUAAACUUCACGAUCAAAUAAUGACAGAAAGGCAGAGGUCCAAUAAACGUAUUCAAGAUAUGCAUUGUGAGCUGGAGAGGUUAGAGAAGUGGGCUGAAAAUAAAAUAAAAUACAUUGACGAUGAGAUUGAGGAAGUAAAUAACAGGGCUAGUAGAACAAUGAAUGAACUGACAGCAGAGAUGAAAACAGAGAUGGGAUCAGUGGGGGAGGCUGAGCGUAAUGAAAUCGUUGCCGCGAUAGAGAUAAUAUUUAAACAUUCUGAGCAACAGAUAACAAGACUAGAAGUCAAGAAGAAGGCAGCAAAUGAUACGUAUUCUAAAGGCUGGAGAAAACUGCGGGAACAGAUCGAUAAUGAAACGGAAAAGAGCAAUGACCAUGGUUUGAGACUAAUGAAGAUAAUGGUCAGAACACAAAAAGCCUGUGUGGAAUACAUUGACAAAGAGAAGGCUGACAUGAAACAGCAUAUAGCAGAUUCUUCAAGAUACAUUGAUUCAUUGGAAAAGCAGAAAAGAAAAGCUGAGCUACCAUGGCUGUGUGCUGCUGCGCUCUCUGCUUUAGGUCUGCUUGCUUUUGCAUUUUUAAUGAGGUAGUGCGCCUCCAGGCGCUGAACACGUGCUAAAAUCACCGGAGAGCGGCUCGCUCCAGGCGCUGAACACGGGCUAAAACCACCGGAGAGCGGCUCGCUCCAGGCGCUGAACACGGGCUAAAACCACCGGAGAGCGGCUCGCUCCAGGUGCUGAACACGGGCUACAACCACCGGAGAGCGGCUCGCUCCAGGUGCUGAACACGUGCUAAAAUCACCGGAGAGCGGCUCGCUCCAGGCGCUGAACACGGGCUAAAACCACCGGAGAGCGGCUCGCUCCAGGUGCUGAACACGGGCUACAACCACCGGAGAGCGGCUCGCUCCAGGUGCUGAACACGUGCUAAAAUCACCGGAGAGCGGCUCGCUCCAGGUGCUGAACACGGGCUAAAACCACCGGAGAGCGGCUCGCUCCAGGUGCUGAACACGGGCUACAAGCACCGGAGAGCGGCUCGCUCCAGGUGCUGAACACGGGCUACAACCACCGGAGAGCGGCUCGCUCCAGGUGCUGAACACGGGCUAAAACCACCGGAGAGUGGCUCGCUCCAGGUGCUGAACACGGGCUAAAACCACCGGAGAGCGGCUCGCUCCAGGCGCUGAACCUAGCUGAACAUACGAUUUACUAAAAUAAAACCAUCGGAAGAAAAAGUUGCUGUUUUUACUUACAGGCUGUGAGAUGGUGGUCGAUCGUUGUGACGGUACAGAUUUUGCGCCCCUGACUUUUGACAUUGAUGUGAUGCCAUAAAAUGAUGCCCACCAACAACAGCAUCAUGUGGGCAAUGUUAGUGUACAUUACAGUAUAGUGAGUGAACACAGUGUUUAAAACCCCCUCAUACCACCUGAGAAUGACCCACCAGUAAUAGUGGAGCCAAUAAGAUAGACAGUGAGUGUAGGAACAAGGUGGUGAUCAUAAUAUUUUGAUUUGACUGUAUUUAGUAUUUGUGUGAACAAAUUUAUAGAUUCAUUUAUUGGCAGUGUCUGUGCAAUAACACUAACUGUUCCAAAUGGUCUGAACAAUAUCAGCAGCAUCACUUGUAUCAUUUUCCAUCUGGUGUAUUAAAACAUUCAAAGAACCUUGCAAGUUUUCACAUUUUAAACUGAAUUACUGAAAUAAAGUAACGUCUUUUUUUUUUAUAUGCACUAGUUUUCACAGUACUGUACCAUAACAAAGCAUUGACAGGUACAGUAUAUAUAAUUAAUUAAUUAAAACAAUGACGAAUCAAUAAUACAAUAAAUACAAAAAUCACAGCACAAUCAGACAAUAACCACAUGAAAUUGGUUUGAAAAGUGAAGCUUUUUAUUUAUUACUUUUGAACCUUUUAUAUGAAAUAUACAUGACGUUGGCCCAAUCACAACCGAAACCCAUCUUUAAAGAGAAGAAGAGCAUAUCUGCCACCUCCUCAUGUGACUUCUCCAAGAAUCACAGAUCACCUGCAUGGUCACAUUCUAUGGGGAGCUGGGAAACAAAGCAUUAAUAAGUACCUUAAUGGUCCCUCUGUGGAGUGCAGUGUUUUAACUCCAACAUGACCUCCACCACUCGAUAAAUCAAGAGUGUUAACAGAAAUUGGGAAACUGCAGAGUGCAUCUGAACACUAUGGGUCAGUUAAACAUAGGGAUUAAGUCUAGCCAAAGACUUUAUUUUUCAUUUUAAUUAAAAAUCUCCAUUAAAAAUGCUGUGUAGUAGAUUUAUGAGACAAAAACAGUGUGAAAAACAACAAAUGCAGCAAGUUUGUAAACUCAUCUGUUCUUCUUCUAUUCCUUAUCCUAGCCUGAUCUCCUUUCUGCCCUUUCUUCUACCUUUCUUGGCCCUUCAACUCCCAACAGCCUUCAACUCUUAACACAUUCACAGGUCCUUCUAAGAACAUCAGAAACCAUCUCCGGUACCUUUCAGCACCUUUCUAUUAACAUUUUCUAUUAACACUGCUUCUGUUCUGCACUGUAGCACAGUCUUCAUUCAGCAUGUCAAUCAACAUUCACCAAUAAAGCUUGCCCCCUGUUGUACAGUGUACAGUAUGGCUAGGUACAACCAGGGACCUUUGUAAUUUCAAUUAUUUUUUUUGAUGAGGCCAAACGACUGCACAGACAUUCAGUUUAAUGCGUUCCUCACAUGACGUGAUCUAGCAUGAGUACUGUGCUGCUCUGAGCAACAAAUCAAUUAAUCAACCAAUCAAUCAAUGUAUCACAGUCACAAGCCAAAUGAACACUAGAACAAAUUCUACAUUGGCCCCGUUUUUAAGACUAGCUCAUUUUGGCUGAGAAAAAAAAAACUAAACUCAACAAAGAAAGCCUACACAAAAAACAAAAAACAAAAAAAACAUAUCCCAAUAACUCAGUAACCAUCGAUAUCAUUUAUAUACCCAACUGACAGAACCAAUCCGCCAUCAGAACAUAAAUUUAUGACAAAAACUAAAAUCAGGAGAUCAAACAAGAAUGGUAAACCGUGGGCCCCAAAUAAAGAGACACAUUUAUACACAAAGUCCAGUUUUAUAACAUCAUUUUGGACAUUGGCUC